rnacentral:rRNA from 1 species
UACGAAGGGGGCUAGCGUUGCUCGGAAUCACUGGGCGUAAAGGGCGCGUAGGCGGACUUUUAAGUCGGAGGUGAAAGCCCAGGGCUCAACCCUGGAAUUGCCUUCGAUACUGGAAGUCUUGAGUUCGGAAGAGGUUGGUGGAACUGCGAGUGUAGAGGUGAAAUUCGUAGAUAUUCGCAAGAACACCAGUGGCGAAGGCGGCCAACUGGUCCGAUACUGACGCUGAGGCGCGAAAGCGUGGGAGCAAACAGG